CUUUGCAAUAAAUCCAUGUAAGGCAGUGCACCCAUGUGAUCUGGGAGGAGGAAAAUAUGUGAAAAAGUUUUAGAUAUACUUCUCACUAGCCCACAGACCUAUGAGUAAUGCUGUAUUACCAUUUUCCCAGCUGCCAAGCUCAAGGCUUUGUAAAUUGUUGACUUUCAGGCAGUGCGCCCCUCCCCCACCAUGCCAGACUACCUUAAUUAUACUGAAACUAGGUGGAAACCUGUUUAAAAGCCUUCUUGAGUUGUUCCUCAUCACGUUUAGCAAUAAGGAAUAAAAAUGCUUGAUUCUAACUACAUAGUCUAUAAAGUUUACAUAUUCUUGAACACGUAAAUUAUUUUUCUACAUGCUAUAGGAAAAUACAUGCUAUAGUUCACUGGGGAGAGACUUCAUGGUAUCAAUUCAAGUGUUACUACUUCUGCAAAAUGUUCCGACUCUCUCACAGAGAAAGACUUCUUCAUUAUAAAAAUUCUAAAGUUUUUCUUUAGAGAAUUUUAAAAUUUGCUGGAAUGACCAGGAAAUUUGAAAAGGCAAAUAUGAAGUCAUGUUUAUAUCUUCCUUUAUUUAUAAAAUAUGCCCAAAAUAAUCUUUUACAAAAAGUAAUAGUUACGGUUUUAAAAAGUUCAGAAGGGCUUACAAUAAUAAAAUGCAGUCAUUUCUCACCGAAUUUUUACUAUCCCUAGUGCCAUUAAGUAGAUAAUAUUUUUUACAAAUAUUGAUGAAGUGAUAAAAAUUGAUGAAUAAUAUGCAGAGAAAUGUGUAGUUCUUAAGUGUAAAGUUUGAAUUUCAAAGAAUGUAUAUACCUAUGUAUAACCCACAUACCUAUUAAGACUUAGAAAGUUUCUAUCAUAUUAGAAAAUGUCCAUCAUCUCAGAAAAUUCCUUUGUGUCCUUUCUAGCAACCCCACCCUCUGUCAAAACUUCUCUUCUACCUGUUCUUUUUUGUAUAAUGGCUUUAUUCAGAUAUUCAUAUACCAUAUAUUUAAUUCCCCCACUUAAAGUUUACAGUUCAGUUGUGUUUUGUCUACUCACAGAAUUGUGCAAUUGUCAACACAAUCAAUUUUAGAAUUUUUUUCAUCACUCCAAAAAGAAACUGCACACACAUUAGCAGUCUAUGUUUUCCUGACUACCUUCACUCCUACUACAACCCUCAGCAGCUGCUGAUCUAUUUUCUUUCUUCUAGAUAUUUCAUAUAAAUGUAUUCAUGGAAUAUGUGCCCUUUUGUGACUGGCUUCAUUAACUUAACAUCAUGUUUUCAAGGUUCAUGGAUGUCAUAGUGUGUAUCAGAAUAUAAUUCCUUCUCGUGGCUGGUAUUCCAUUGUUUGGGUAUACCAUGUUUUUUUAAUCCAUUCAUCAGUUGAUGGACACUUGGAUUUUUCUUUUUUUUGAUAUCAUGAAUAAUGUUUCUGUGAAUGCUUGUAUAUAAGUUUUUGAUGGAUAUAAAUUUUCAUUUCUUUUGGAUAUAUACCUAAGAGUGGAAUUGCUGAGUCAUGGUAAUUUUGUGCUUAUCAUUUGAGGAACUGCCAGGCUGAAGUGCUUGUACCAUUUUACAUUCCCACAAGUAGUGUAUGAGAGUUCCAUUGUCUCCAUAUUCUCACAAACACUUAACUGUUUGUUAUUUGUCAUCUCGAUUGUAACUAUCUUAAUGGUUGUAAAAUAUCUCAUUGUGUUUUCAAUUUGCUUUUUCCCUAUGACUAGUGAUGUUGAACAUCUUCUUAUGUAUUUAUUGGCCGUUUUCUUUGGAAAAAUGUUUAUUCAGAUCUUUUGUCCAUUUUUAAAUCACGUUAUUGUUGAUUUGUAAGGGUUCUUUCUAUAUUCUAGAUACAAGUCCCUUAUGAUUCGCAAGUAUUUUCUCCCAUUCUGUAGAUUGUCUUUCCACUUUCUUGGUGGUAGCCAAUAAAGUACAAAAUGUUUUUAAUUUUGAUGAAUUCCAGUGUAUCUGUUUUUUCUUUUGUCACUUGUAGUUUUGGUCAUAAUUAAGGCUUUACCUAACUCAAAGUCAUGAAGAUUUAUUCCUGUAUUUUCUUCUAUAUUAUGCUUGUUCUUGAACUUUAUAUAGAUGGAAUCAUAUCAUUGGUUAUGCAUGUGUGAAGCAAAAUGAAAAAAGAGAAGUGAUUUGGUUAAUUUUGGGGGCUCUGCCUUACUUUUAAGCCUUAGACACAUUGUAAACGUUUUAGGAUUGGUUAUUUCAUAGAUUUGUUGUACCUCUUCCAAGUAUAAGUUCUUUUUUCCUGAAGCCUACCCAAAUACUUUUCUCAUCAGAUUUCCCCUAAUUUGAAUUUUUAAUGGAGACGAAGGGAAAUUAUAAUGGGGCUAGUAGCUCAAAAAUUUUUAACGUAAUUUGCUUUUUCAAAUUUUCAAACUGCUAUAAUAGGUGAAAAAAAUAUAGCAGUAAUUUUAUUGAUG
rnacentral:lncRNA from 1 species